GAUAAAGUGACUGAAACUGAUUAGUGAUCAUUCAUACAUCAUUUUCAUGUUCAUGUUCAAAAGAUAAACAAUUGAUCAUUGUCUCUUAAUGCGUCUAAUUCUUCUACUUGUGAGUCGUCCACCAUCACAACUGUGCUCCUCUUUUUCCCAACUUUUUCUCUGCAUUCACAAAGACAAAAAACAAAAAUGCUAUCAUUGAUGUGAAUUUAUGAAUUUGAAUUUAUCUUCUUUUAUGUAUGAAUUUGAAUGUGUGAGAUGAUUCUCAUAUUAUAUAUAUAUAUAUAUAUAUUUGGCAAUGUGUGAAAUCAUUGAACUCUCUGGCCUUUUAGGGGUUGAUUUUAGAUUCUCAUUAGUUCAUAUUUGUAAUAGCCACUUAUCAUCCAAGACCAUCUUACAGUAUUUUGGAAUUGGUUAGCUUAGUCUUCAACAAAUCUCUUGGUAUUGAAAAUGUAAUCUUCAUUAGCAUGAACUGAAACUACUCGGUACUGGCUUUUACAUUGGGGAGAAUUCAUAAUAUUUUAUUCGAUAAAAAAAUACCUUGUGAAAUACAAUUGAAGCUAACGAAAAGCUAGAUAAGUAGACUUAGAUUUAUAGUCUAAGUAUUCUAUUAAAAAGGGAGAUGUGCGCCUCUAUAUUCAGUUCAUCCAGCAAUUCUGUUAGAAAAGGGAUUUCUUGUAGCAUCUCUUGUUUUAAGUCUUUCAAGUGCUGAGAAGAAAAGAG
rnacentral:lncRNA from 1 species